rnacentral:lncRNA from 7 species
AGCAGAAAAUCAACUCUGCUCUUGCCUGACCUUCUCACCUGCUUCCUGUUUUAUCCUCUCAUGGAUGCAACUUUCCCCGUAGGAAAAAGAGAUGGAAAUACACAAGAUCUUGGAUAUGUAAAUAACUUUUCCUGACUUUACCUGACACAUUUCAAAUUUGCAGCUGAAUCUGGAAGCAGCGUUUGUGCAGCUCAUUGCAGUAUGAUAGAGAUCUAGCCACCUCACAGCCUGAUGAGAUGGAAAUGAACAUUUCAAGCCACAGUUGCUAUCAUAUGGUAUAUAUCCAUGGGUACUGUGGAACUGAGAGCACUAAAACUACAGUCCAACUUGUUUGGAGACUAACAAUCUGCAUUUGACUGUGAUAAACACCUACAGUGAAUCACUGUAAACUUUUUCCACUAUUAUCACUUGUAUUAUUCUAGUGUUGGGAGUCAGGUAUUUGUCUGUGUUGGAUUAUCACUAGCUGUGUAGUGAGUUUCAGAAGGGAAUCUAUAUGGCAUUAUCUGCGUGCUGUAGACUCAGCAAUUCCUUCUGUUAUUCCCUACGUUGUCUCCUAGAUUUCAUCACCCUGACACAGUCAGUGAAGAGCAGCAGCUGCCCAUCACACCUCCUGGUCUUUGUGUGCAAGUGUCUAACUGCAAAAUGGAAUCAAUAAUACAAUAAUAAUAUCCACUGUAGCAGUUAUUUGAUAAAAGAAAAAUCCUUAGGUAAAUGGUAAUUG